rnacentral:rRNA from 1 species
AUACGGAGGGUGCAAGCGUUAUUCGGAAUCAUUGGGCGUAAAGGGCGCGUAGGCGGCCUUGUAAGUCAGGUGUGAAAGCCCGGGGCUUAACCUCGGAAGUGCACUUGAAACUACAUGGCUUGAGUGUGGGAGAGGAGAGCGGAAUUCCUGGUGUAGAGGUGAAAUUCGUAGAUAUCAGGAGGAACACCGGUGGCGAAGGCGGCUCUCUGGACCAAUACUGACGCUGAGGCGCGAAGGCGUGGGGAGCAAACAGGAUUAGAUACCCUGGUAGUCCACGCAGUAAACGGUGAACACUAGGUGUAGCGGGUAUUUACCCCCGCUGUGCCGCAGCUAACGCAUUAAGUGUUCCGCCUGGGAAGUACGGUCGCAAGAUUAAAACUCAAAGGAAUUGACGGGG